GUAGGUGAACCUGCGGAAGGAUCAUUAUAGAGAACUUGCCCUUCGGGGUAGAUCUCCCACCCUUUGUUUACAUUACCUUUGUUGCUUUGACAGGCCCGUCUCCGGACCACCGGCCUAGGCUGGUCCGCGCCUGCCAGAGGACCUAAAACUCUUGUUUAAUCAUAUUGUCUGAGUACUAUAUAAUAGUUAAAACUUUCAACAACGGAUCUCUUGGUUCUG
rnacentral:misc_RNA from 1 species